UACGUAGGGGGCAAGCGUUGUCCGGAAUCAUUGGGCGUAAAGAGCGUGUAGGCGGCCUUUUAAGUCUGCUGUGAAAGUCCAGGGCUCAACCCUGGGAUGUCAGUGGAUACUGGAAGGCUCGAGUCCGGAAGAGGCAAGUGGAAUUCCUGGUGUAGCGGUGAAAUGCGCAGAUAUCAGGAGGAACACCGAUGGCGAAGGCAGCUUGCGUGGGACGUGACUGACGCUGAGACGGCGAAAGCGUGGGGAGCAAACAGG
rnacentral:rRNA from 1 species